UUGCAAUUGCAAGUAAAUAAAUGCUUGGAGAAUUGGAAUUGGAGCUCAAAAGUAUUCCAACUGACAAUCAAAGGAUGAGAAAUAUCAUUGCCAAGUUCUCAAGGAUUUCUUGAAGACGCUUGAUGAUCAGGUAAUUCUAAAAAACAAAUAUGUAUACAAACUCAUCACUUCAUCCUACCCGAUCUGCUUUAACUUGCAGGCUUUAGCUUCUAUGUGAAUAUUUAACUUGCAGAUUGCAGCAUCAACAUGGUGAGCAUGCAUUAUCUAUAUUUGACCUCUGUAUGGACUUGCAUGUUCAACAAUACCAUGCUGUUUAUGUAAAUGACUAGGUCAGAAAUACAAUGAUGUAGUCGAUGGUUUGUUCAGAAAACAUAUGGUUAUGUUGCAGCUUUCGGUAUAUAAUUCAUGUACUUCCAUGUCGACCCCUGUGUAUUUCAGCUAGCAUCUUUCUUGGUUUGGUAUUGAUCUGUGUAGCUCUUGGAAAACAAUCCAGCGUUUCUUCACUCCAAAUGAUUGAGCCACGUCAUAAGUCUCACUCACCUGCUCAAAAGAAUCGUCAGCUGCUUAUUACAAUCAACUCUAAAGAACUACUGAAAGAGGAUACAGACUCUAGCUUACCUCAGGAUGAAACAGCAAUUGAUCCAAUGGACACCGAGGAAUCUGACGAAGACAAGAAGGCCAAAAGAUCUUAUUUAGCAACAACGGGGAGUUCAGCUAAUGAAAGUAUGAAUAAAUGGUAGAAGCAGUGAGGUACAUUGAGGUAUAUUUCCUCAUAUCACAAAUUCAGAUGAUUCUAUUUCUCCUCAAAUCAUCAACAGACAUCAUUUAUAGCGACUUCUAAGUCCGGUCUCCUGACUUACUCCAUAACUCAGUACUAGCUCAAACAUCCGACAAAGUCCGCUAUUUCGUGAUAAGUCUUCAGUUUGCUCUUUAUAUUGACCUUGUUUUCUGAAUCUGCAUCAGGAUAAGUCAAUUCUAUUUAAUAUUUCUGCUAUACCCAGUGAUGAAUUAUUUGUUUACACUACUAAUGCAAUCUAUGGUGAUUUUCUCUACUUUCAUGAUAUGGUCAGGUAGCAGGGUCCCUUUGAACUACAGAAAUUUUCAGGUCAAAUUAGGGUCUCUUGGGUGCUGCUGAAUAGCCCUUUGUAUUUUCCAUUUGCUGAUACUGCAGAAUUUGUAACACUCAAAAGUAAAGAAGCUUCUGUGUGUAUUUUGCAUGUACCAUGCGAGACCUCCUGCCAAUCAAAAGAAACAAGAAAAGAUAUAAGAUUUGUAGGCACACUUACUGCUCACAGUUAACUGAAAUGAAACAGCAUUUAGCUACCUGUAGUUCGUAUGGAAACUUUUUUUAUUUCACAUACAAGACUAUGAUAAUUGAAAUAUUGCCAAUUAAUUCAAUAUUACAUAUUACAUUUUCCCCCCCAAGUUUGUACACUUUGCUUCAUGCUGUUAUUCAAAAGUAAUCAUUUAACUCAUGCAUAAUUUUACUUUUC